rnacentral:snRNA from 1 species
CUGAUACUGAUCAGAUCAACC